UGGAAGAGCAAACGUAAUGCACCCCACCCCCAUCCAGGGGACCAAGUAUGAGGAAGAAUGGGGCCCAGGUAGGACCCCCUUCCCAGCCCUCACACACCCCACUCCUCAGGUGUAGCCUGUUCCGGGGAAGGAACGUCCAACAGGAUGUGAGACUGAAGUUUGAAAAUAGAUGAGCCUACGCCUUAAUAACCAGAGGACAUUCUUUAAUAACCGGAAGUUUCCCAAACGUGAUGGAAUGGGACUGAGACACCAUUAGCGGCUUUUGAUAUUCUGAUUCAGCCCUGAGUCAGACUCCUUGUCACGGGUGGAGGCGCUUGAACCCACACAAGCAGAAAAACCAGCUCGAUAGUGACCCAGACGGGCGAGGUGACGGAGGGCCACGUGCAGAUGGCCAGCCAGGCUCCUCACCGCUGACCCCUGGACGAGAUGACGUGUCUCCCUCCUCGACGCUGCGCCUCCAAGAGCAAGACAAGAGGAAACGAGAUUUCUGUCGCGCUGAGUCGGCGUUCUGCACAGCUCUCUCAUUGAGUCCUUGUAUCAACCCUGGGGGCAAAUUUCCUCAGCCAGGAAGACUCUGCAGGUAUUCUGGGGGCGUGGAAUGAAAUAUUCCUUCUCCUUUCCCUUUUUUGUUGAAUGCCGAGCCACAGUCCCAAGGGACCCGUGACAGCCCGUGGGAUCGGGAUACAAAGUGCAGCAGCGACAGGACACGCAGAGGAGAAGGGGCUGCAGCAGCGAUGACCCUCCUGGGGCCCUGCGGGUGGGGGGAGGCUUCCCUUGAAGGAACACCCCUCACUGGCUGGGAAGAACACGAGGAGGAUGAACGUGAACGCGGUGCUCAUCCGCUUGAGCAAUGUCACGGGCACCCGGCCCUCAUCCGCCUACAGAUCAGCCCACAGCACCUGACCCCCAGGGAGCCGGCAGGGGAGCCCCUCCCUCCGGGGGAGCCUCUGUGAUAGUGGUAGCCUGUGGUGCGAGCCUCGUGGGGGAGGGCAGGCGGACCUCUCCCCCUCCCGCUGAGCCAGGACUGACUGGAAACGGGGCCCGAAUUCCAGGAGGAGGUCCCCGAUUUCAGGCCAGAAGCCUUGUCAGUGCCCCAAAGAGGCAGCACAGAGCAGAGCGGCUCAUGGAACACCAGCAGCCACUGAGCCUUCGCAGAGGGCAGAGCCCAGUGGGGGCGGCCAGUCAGCCAGCCAGGCCAUCGUGGGGCACCUCCUGAGUCCCCUCCGGGCUGUGACUGGACGUGCCGUUCUUGACCCUGAGUGUUUGGUCGUCUUCCCCGAGAUGAUCAGUCAGGUGCAGUCACAGGGAGACUGAGAAGAGGCUCCAGGACACAAGGUUUAUGACACUCACGGGUCCUAGAGAUGGCACAGCACACCGUGCGGGGGCCCGUGGAGACACCUGCACGGCCAGGAGGCAGAAUACGGAAGGGCGGGGAGGGGUUAGGCCCCUGCUUUCACUGGAGUUUCAGAGGGUAAGGCAAAGCAGGGCAGGAUUCACCGUUUGGGACUGGCUUGUUUGAAUGAUUUCGGAAGGCUUCAGGCUGGAGGGGUAGACUCCGGUAGCCUGGGACCUUGCCCUGGGACGACACAGGCGGAAGAAUGUUGCCUCCUUGGGUGCGUGGGCCGGACAGAGGAGUGCGGCUCUGGAUGGGUUAUUUUACACAUGGCAGGAUGCUCCUGGCUGGGGCUCUGCUCUCUCUAAGAGUCAGCUAGCCCUGGGAGGGGCAGUCUUCCCCACCAGGAACGUUUUUCUGUUUGUUUGUUUGUUUUGUUUUUCAUUUUUUAUAGAUAUCAAAACAUAAUAACGUACAUAUAACACAUUUAAAUCAGUGGACUUUGAGUAUAGCAGAUUGCCUUCCUUAAUGUGGGUGGGCCUCAUCCAAUCAGGUGAAGGCCUUCCUAAACCAGACUGACCUACCCCAAGAAAGAAGGACCUCUGCCAGCAGACAGCCUUUGGACUUGAACUGAAACUCUUUUCUACAUCUCCAGCCUGUUGGCUGGCCCCGUUAGAUUUGGGGCUCACCAAGUGUCCACAAUUGUGCGAGCCAAUUCCCUGAAGGAAAUCUCACUCCAUGUUUAUACACA